rnacentral:rRNA from 1 species
UACGUAGGGGGCAAGCGUUAUCCGGAUUUACUGGGUGUAAAGGGAGCGUAGACGGACUUGCAAGUCUGAUGUGAAAAUCCGGGGCCCAACCCCGGAACUGCAUUGGAAACUGUAUAUCUAGAGUGUCGGAGAGGCAAGUGGAAUUCCUGGUGUAGCGGUGAAAUGCGUAGAUAUCAGGAGGAACACCAGUGGCGAAGGCGGCUUGCUGGACGAUGACUGACGUUGAGGCCCGAAAGCGUGGGGAGCAAACAGG